AGCUGCGUGGUCUCUCAGAGAGGAGGCUGAGGACAGCAUGGACUGAGUUACCACACUCCUAUCUACACACAUAUGCACGGGCGUGGCUCUUAAGCGUCCCUCGCUCUCCUCACCUGAUCUCCGGCAGCGUCUCACACCUGAAGCUCAUCCCAGCAAUCAACCUACUCAGUCUUCGCCAGUUCAUCCAUUCACCUCUGUGAUCUGCCUGCCUGUGGGAACACUAUCGGCCCAUCUCGUGUGGUGUUCAGAAAGAGAUGCCAUCAUUCAUUUGUCUACCCACUCUCCACCGCUGGCCUUUUGCUAAUAAUUUUUUGUUAAUUAGUUUUGUAACAAACCUGCCUGAGUUGAUUAUACCUCUGCUUUGUGUCUGCUUCUGAAUCCAAGUGGGAUACAUAACAGUUGAAGUGUGAUACAGGCGGACAACGUGCUGCACCGUUGGGCGUCAUGAUACGAGGUACUGCCGGUGUGUUUUGCCAGGGGUAGGGACAUUAGUGGAGAUGCAUCCAUGAUGGUGAUGUUGUUUGACUUUUUGGCAGUCUCGCAUUACCAGACCUACCUCCACAGCGCUGCGGAGGAGGGUCUGGCUAGUCCAUACAGCAUUCUGGGAUGGGAGAAAAACGUGCCCUGGUUUAUUGGCAUUUCUUAUUACCAAUCACAAUCGUCUUGGGACAAUCGCGCUCGGACAGCGCUACGGUGCCGCUGCAAAAUAGC